rnacentral:rRNA from 1 species
GAUGAACGCUGGCGGCGUGCCCAAUACAUGCAAGUCGAGCGAACGGACUAGAAGCUUGCUUCUCUGAUGUUAGCGGCGGACGGGUGAGUAACACGUGGAUAACCUACCUAUAAGACUGGGAUAACUUCGGGAAACCGUAGCUAAUACCGGAUAAUAUUUUGAACCGCAUGGUUCAAAAGUGAAAGACGGUCUUGCUGUCACUUAUAGAUGGAUCCGCGCUGCAUUAGCUAGUUGGUAAGGUAACGGCUUACCAAGGCAACGAUGCAUAGCCGACCUGAGAGGGUGAUCGGCCACACUGGAACUGAGACACGGUCCAGACUCCUACGGGAGGCAGCAGUAGGGAAUCUUCCGCAAUGGGCGAAAGCCUGACGGAGCAACGCCGCGUGAGUGAUGAAGGUCUUCGGAUCGUAAAACUCUGUUAUUAGGGAAGAACAUAUGUGUAAGUAACUGUGCACAUCUUGACGGUACCUAAUCAGAAAGCCACGGCUAACUACGUG